rnacentral:rRNA from 1 species
UACGAAGGGUGCAAACGUUGCUCGGAAUUAUUGGGCGUAAAGCGCACGUAGGCGGCUUUGCAAGUCGGAUGUGAAAUCCCUCGGCUUAACCAAGGAAGUGCAUCCGAAACUGCAAGGCUUGAGUACUUAAGAGGAUCGCGGAAUUCCCGGUGUAGAGGUGAAAUUCGUAGAUAUCGGGAGGAACACCAGUGGCGAAGGCGGCGAUCUGGGAAGAUACUGACGCUGAGGUGCGAAAGCCAGGGGAGCAAACGGG